rnacentral:rRNA from 1 species
UACGGGAGGGGCAAGCGUUACUCGCCAUGACUGGGCGUAAAGAGUCCGUAGACUGUAAAGCAAGUUACUUGUAUUAAAAAUUUAAGCUUAACUUAAAAUCAGCUUGUAAUACUACUUUACUAGAGUUUUAUACAGAAGAGUAGAAUUUUAUACGUAAGGGUAAAAUCUGAAAAUAUAUAAAGGAAUGUCAUUAGCGAAAGCGACUCUUUAGUAAAAACUGACGUUGAGGGACGAAAGUGUGGGUAGCAAACAGG